CGAGCGAACAGAUAAGGAGCUUGCUCCUUUGACGUUAGCGGCGGACGGGUGAGUAACACGUGGAUAACCUACCUAUAAGACUGGGAUAACUUCGGGAAACCGGAGCUAAUACCGGAUAAGAUUUUGAACCGCAUGGUUCAAUAGUGAAAGACGGCCUUGCUGUCACUUAUAGAUGGAUCCGCGCCGUAUUAGCUAGUUGGUAAGGUAACGGCUUACCAAGGCAACGAUACGUAGCCGACCUGAGAGGGUGAUCGGCCACACUGGAACUGAGACACGGUCCAGACUCCUACGGGAGGCAGCAGUAGGGAAUCUUCCGCAAUGGGCGAAAGCCUGACGGAGCAACGCCGCGUGAGUGAUGAAGGUCUUCGGAUCGUAAAACUCUGUUAUCAGGGAAAACAACGUGUAAGUAACUGUG
rnacentral:rRNA from 1 species